CUGUAUUUGAAUCCCAGUAAGGGAGUGGGACUGGGAGUAGGACACCUGUGUUCUGGUUCCAGGUUCCUUCUGUUAUACCACGCUGUAUCUCUCACAUAACACAACAGGCGUGGAUUAGACUAAGGACCCUUCCAGCUCGUUAUUGAAGAGCCAGUAUGAUGGCCAGGAGUGGAUUCCUUCUUGCAAAGUCCAUUGUAAUAGUCCUCCUAAGGUCCUAUCACUAAGCCACUGGGCCAGCCCUCUGAGACCAAGGAGGGAGGGCCACAUGACAGCCCAUGGGAUUCUUGGAGACCUGUCCUUUCUCCUUUGAGGGUCUUCUCUUCUGCAGGCUGGUUUCCUUGGCUAUGCUCAUGUCAUAGAGAUUCAAAGCAAGCCUUUGGUAUCUAGAUUGCCACCGGUUUUGCAGAGAUGAUGAUACUUGGGCUGAAUCUUGAAGGACUUGCCUUCUCAAGUAGAUCACGGUCUCCUCUGGGAUGGGAUCUGGGUCAUCUCUUGUAUUCUUCAAAAAGUGUAUGUCAUAGGAAGCAAGUGAUACUUUUUCCUAAUGGAACCAUAUUAAAAUAUUCAUUGAAGGCAAAGGUACUUUAUUGCAAUCUUUGAGGCUAAACUUGAUUUUUUUUCCCCCUUUCUUUAUGCCCCCAGCACUUAGAAAAGUGUCUGGCACUUACUGAGCUCUCAUUUACUGAUUGGCAAUCCCAAGAAGAAUUGUUUUUUUUUUUUUUUUUUUAACAAUGUUCAAGGGACUGAGGCACAAGGGACAAUACAAAACACUCCCUGUCCUCAGGUCCACUGGAGAUAGCUGUUUCUUGAUUUGAGUGUUCUGAAAUUCUCAGGGGCCUGAACACUCAAGAGUCCUUAGUAAUAGCAGGGUAACCCCCGCUAACCCCUAGCCUGGGAUCCUGCAAAAUACAGCAGUUUGGGAACGGUCCAAGUUCUAUGUAAGAGCAUCAUGAGACGCAAACUAAGAAAGAGAUCUUGGCUCUGAGCACACACUGAGCUUAGCAGCCCCUUCCCCACAGAGCAGACAGGCAUCUAAAAUUUGGAGGAGGCUCUCCUCAGGCUCUAAAGAGGAGGAGGGUCUUUAGUAGAUCCUAACCCUGAGUACAGUGCCUGAAGAUCCUCACUUUACAUCAGUCAAGUAUGAGAGUUGUCACUGGGAAGUAACAGUGAAGGAAAGAGAAUAUGGGGUUCAGGCCCUGCCCUGUGCUGCACACUGAACAACUAUGGGCAAAAAUCCAAAUGCCUGAUAAUACUCUUGUUUUCUUGCAGCCUUCCCAUUCGGUGCCCUGGCAGACAAGGCUUCCCAGCAUCUCUGUUAAUGGAUGACACGGGGAGGGGGGUCCUCCUCUCUGUCAAAGACCCAGUCAUUUUCCUGGUCAGGUUUCAUCCAAUCAGUGACAGAAUCCUGUGAUCUCAUCUUUUCCAAUGUCUUCCUCCUAUUCUUCUUUGAAAAUUGGACUGGUUUCCUAUCUUCCUCAUCAAGAAUGUCUUUAGAAAUCAUUAUUUCAGGUCUUGCAGUUCAAGGACUCCUGAGGAUUUCCCAAACACUUUAACGUGGGAUCUACAAGAUCAAAACUAUUUUUAUGAUAAUACUAAGACAUUUAUGUUUCUUUUUUUCUCAAUGGUAUUUUAUUUUUCCAAAUACAUGUAUUGAUAAUUUCCACAUUUGUUAAGACACUGUUUAAGACACGUUUAAGACACCAAAUUUUUCUCUCUCCCUCCUUUACCUCGACCCUCCCCAAGACAUCAAAUGGUUAAACAUAUGCAAUCCUUUAAGCAUAUAUUUUUAUUUAUCAUGUUGUAUAAGAAAAAUCAGGCCAAAAGGGAAAAAACCAUGAGAAAGAAAACAAAAAAGAUGAAAAUGCCAUGUUUCAAUCCACAGUGGACGUAUUAACACCUAAUAUCAAUCAAUAUGACCCAUAUACACCAAAGUUCUUUGAUCCUUAAUUUUUAAAAGUGUAAAGCUUUUUUUCCCCAAGGCAAUUGGGGUUAAGUGACUUGCCCAGGGUCACACAGCCAGGAAGUGUUGUGUCUGAGGCCAGAUUUGAACUCAGGUCCUCCUGACUUUAGGGCCGCUGCUGUAUCCACUAGGCCACCUAGUCACUCCCUAAAGCAUUCUUGAAAGCAAAAAAUUUGAGGCCUGCUGAUUUAGUCCAUUCUCCACCCCUGACUUUUCCAGGCAAAAAAUCAGUGCAGAGGGAACAUGACUUGCCCAGAAUCCCAUAGAUAAUAAAUAGGAGAACUCGAAUUUGAGAUGACAUCUUUGAACUGUACAAUGCGGCUCUUUCCCCACUAUUCCUCCCCCUGAAUCCCCACCCCCAUCUCCAUCUGUGGCUCUUCUCAGGCUUGGAGGAGGAGGAAGAGAGCAGAGAUGGCUUAUGCUGUAUUUCCGUCUUUUAUUUGCCUGUUUCCUACAGGAUUUGCCAGCACUGGCGUUUCUAGGCUCCCCAGUGUGGGAGUGACUACCCUCCCCCAGCCCAAAAGGUCUAAAGGGCAGUCAUAGGAUCCCGGAGAGAGAAGUCAGAGUGAUCCUGGAGGCCAUUGAGCCCAACACCUCAAUUUUAAGGGCUUGGUAUGUGACCGGCACUUGAUAAAUGUGUAUUGAAGCAAGACCCCCAAAGAAGAGAUACAUUACCGCACCACCCCUUUGCCAACAUAGGAUGUAUGUAGGUAUUAUGCAUGGCAUAUAUUUUCAAACAUUUUUUGAUGCAUUGUUUAGUUUUUGCUGAUUUUUUUGGAGGGAGGGAAGGAAGGCUUUUUGAGAGGAAAGGAUACACAUUUUAGACAUAUAAAAGCAACAUAUUAAUAAAAUCUCAUUUUUAAGAAGCCCAUUAUAACUUGACUUCCUCCUACCUUUUCCAUCUUCUUAAAUCUUACUCCUCACCAUAUAUUCUGUAAUACAAUAAUUCUGGCCUCCUUGCUGUUGUUCACAUAAGAUACUCCUAUCUCCUGACUUUGGACAAGUUUCUCCAUUGGGCAUCCACCAUGUCUGGAACUCUCUCCCUGAUCUUCGAGUCUUGGUCUCCUUGAAGCCUUGGUUAAAGUCCCAUCUUUUGCCAGAAGCCUUUCCUGAUCUCCCUUAAUUGGUCACCUCCAAUUUAUCCAGUCUAUAUCUUAUUUGCAUAAUUGUUUGCUUGUAGUCUCCCCCAUUGGAAGGUGAGCUCCUGAAGAACAGGGACUUUUUGUUUGUAUCCUGAGCUGAGCACCGAGCCUGGCACAUAGCAGUUGUUUAAUAAUUGCUUGUUGACUAAUUGGUGGGGACUUAAAACAUAUGUAUUAUUGGAAUUGUCAGUAGUGGACAGAGCACCAGCUCUGGAGUCAGGACCUAAAUUGGAAUCAAGCAUCAGAUACUCAUGAGCUGUGUGACUCGGGGCUGGUGCUCUCUCCACUGCUGAGCCUUUUGAAAUUUGUCACCAGUGUGCUGUAUUGUGGUUAAGUCGUGUCAUUCAGUUGCGUCCAACUUUUCAUGACUCCAUUUAAGGUUUUCUUGGCAAAGAAACUGGAGUAAUUUGCCAUUUCCUUCUCCAACUCAUUUCACAAAUGAGGCAAACAGGACUAAGUGACUACCCAGCUAGUAAAUGUCUGAGGCUAGAUUUGGACCUAGGAAGAUGAGUCUUCCUGACCCGUUGUUAUGUAAACUACAGACUAGUGGAUUUUGCUUUGAUUUCUGGCUGUUUGGUAGUAAACAGCUAGGAAAGGAAGUGGUUGCCAUUAGUUUUAAGAAAGUCAAUCCAGCCUGACCUAAUUUUCUUUUUAAACAAGGUUAUUAGAUUGGUAAAUCAGAAGAAUUUAAAAAAAUACACAGACACAGACACACAUCUACAUUACAUAUACUUAGAUUUCAGUGAAGAGCUUCAAUUUUUUUUGGAGGAGAGGGGGAAAGAGAAUAUAAUUUAGAGGAUAUUAUAGUUAGGUAGGUUCAGAAAUGACCAAAAGAAUAAUCAUUCCUGACCCCAUAUCAUCUUGAAAGGGAGAUUCUUAAUAGGCUAAAACAAUGGGCCAAACUUAAAAAGAAAUAUCAAAAUAAGUGUAAAGUUCUACACUUGGGUUUUCAAAAUCAACUCCACAAAUUUAGAAUGAGGGAGGUAGGGCUAAACAAUUUGUAUGGGGGGGAAAAAGGCCUUGGAAGAGGUUCUAAUGGACUGCAAGUUCAAUAUGUCAAAUGUGAGGCUUAGCAGUUCCAACAGCUAAUAUGAUAUAAGCCCCCAUUAAAAGAAAAUGUUCAGUACAAAGGUGGUGAGAGUCCUUCUGAUUUCUGUCUUGGUCUGACUAUAUCUGCUCAAUCCUGGGUACCACUCUUUUUUUUAAAGUAUUUUAUUUUUUCCCAGUUACACAUAAAAACAAUUUUUAACAUUUCAUUUUUUAAAACUUUAAUCCCAAAUUUUCUCUCCUUUCCUACUCCUCUCCCUAAGAUGGUAAGCAGUUUGAUAUAGAUUAUACAUGUCUAAUCGUGCAAAACAUAUUACCAUAUUUGCCAUGUGAAAUAAACAGAUUCAAAAGGGGGGGACAAAAAAAGAGAAAAUGAAAAAAUAGUCUGCUUUGAUCAGAAUUUAGGCUUCAUCAGUUCCUUCUCUGCAGGUGGAAAAGAUUUUUUUAAUGAGUCCUUUGGAAUCAUCUUAGAUCACUACAUUGCUGAGAACAGUUAAGUUGAUCAUAUUGUUUUACUAUAUACAUUGUACUUUGUAUCAGUUCAUGUCUCAACCAGGUUUUUUCUGAAAUCAAUCUAUUCAUAAUUUUCUAUUUAGCAUCAUAGCAUUCCAUCACAAUCCUAUACUCCCAAUUUGUUCAGCCAUUCCCCAAUUAACGGGCUUCCCUUCAAUUUCUAAUAUUUUGUCACUAUAGAGAGCUAUUAUAUUUUUGUAUAAUAGGUCCUUCACACCCUUCCCCUUUUUUUGUAUCUUUUUGGUGUAUAGACCUAGUUAGUGGUAUUGUUGGAUCAAAGGGUAUGUACAAAUUUAAUUUUGGGCAUAGUGGCAAAACUGAAUGGUUGGAUCAGUUCACAACUCCAAGUGUCCCUUAGUGCCUAAAUUUCCCAUCCAACAUUUUUUUGUCACAGUGGCAACCUGGAAGGUGAGAUGGUAUCUUAGUUGUUUUAAUUUGCAUUUCUCUAAUCAAUAGUGAUUUAGAACAUUUUUUUUCUAAUGACUAUAGCUUUGAUUUCAUUUGAAAACUGCCUGCUCAUAUCCUUUGACCAUUUUUCAAUUGGAGGAGGGUGAUUUAUAUUUAUAUUCUUAUAAAUUUCAAUCAGUUUCCUCUAUAUUGAAGAAAUAAGGCCUUUAUCAGAGACACUUGCUGUAAAAAUUGUUUCCCAGCUUCCUGCUUGCCCUCUAAUUUGGCUUACAUUGGUUUUGUUUGUGCAUGGGUGCUAUGUUUUAGGAAGGACAAAUUGAAGACCAACCAAGUUGGGAGAGAACUAGAGAUCAUGGUAUACAGAACUUUAGGGUUGUUUAAGCCUACAGAUGACUUCUUAGGUAAACAUGGUACAGUGGUAUGAGAAAGCUUGUUAUUUCUUUGUUCAAAACUUUUUUGUGAUUCCCUAUUAUAUUCCAAAUUCAAGUUAUAUGUAUAUAUGUAAUACCUGAGGUCCUUUACAAUAGAGUCAUACCCCUAACUUUAAAAAAAUUCAGCAUUUAUGUAUUCUCCUCUCAUCCUUUUAGACCUUGCUUUACUUAAGAAAAAAAAAAAAAAAAAAAAGCAACCAGCUCAACAAAACCAAGGACAAGGAAAAGCACAGUGGAGUGAAUGGAACGUUUUAAGCCAGAAGUAGUGAAUUCAAUCCCAUCUCUGACACACACAGCCUGGCUGUAUGUCCAUGGGCAAUCAUUUAGCUUUUAGGCAAGUAAAAGCAACCUUACGUUGACAGCAGUAUUUCCUCAUCCAGGGAUUUUCUAUAUCAAUGAAAUCACAAGCCCAAAAUCUAAUCCCACACAUGGGGGGAAAAAUCAUAUGCAAUGACCCAUAAGCUAAUAAAAUAGGACUCUAGUACCUGUUAUCCCUUUUAUUUCCCUCCACUUUCCAAACAAAGGAGACACUUUGCCCAUUUUAAUAUGUUCUUAUACCUUCCUACUUCUAAAUCUUUGCUGGGGCUCCUUCUUACUCUGGGAAUACCAUCUCUUCUCUUCUCAUUACAUGUAAAGAUAGUUUUCAAUGUUCAUUUUUUAGUAAGAUUUUGAGUUCCAAUUUUUUUUCCUUCUUCCCUUCCCUACCCCCCCAAGAUGUCAAGCAAUCUGACAGAGUAUACAUGUCUUUCAAAACUCAAUUCAAAUACCACUUUCUCCAAGUGGCUCUUCCCAAGUUAUUCUCUGAAUUGCCAGGUAUUUUUGCAAAAGUCAUGCUGUCUACACGGAACAUAUCCCUUAUUUACCUGCCCCCUUUCAGAAUCCUAUUUGUUAAGGAUAGAUUCAAGGGUCAUCUCCAUGCUGCUUUCUUUUAUUCUUUUGGGGGAGCUGGGGGGGGGGAGCCUGUCUUCAGUACUUUGCAUCAACUCACCUGCCCUGCCUGCCAAAGUAGACGGGAGCUUCACGAGGGAGAGCCUUCUUUUUGUCCUUCAGUACUUUGCACAGCCGAAUGAUGGGUCCCUUGCUCGCUUGCCCCAGGAUCUCUCACAGGACUGCAUCUCUUGGAAUACUGCGUCUUGCUUCCUGCCUCUUAGAAGGGUGGGCUUCCCAGGAGGACAAGCACUCAUGCUCUUCCCCCAUUACCCCCAGAGGAGAGUGUGUUCCACGCAGUAGGUCUUCAUGUCUUUCAAAUUCAACUGACAGCAUUUAUUUUCUGUAAUACUCUUGCCUUUGAUGGAAACGUCAAACCAUUUUUGGAGGGCUGGGAGGGGAGGCUGCACUGAACACACCUGCCUGGUACCGAUAUCUUUUUGUGGGUACUGGAGUCUUGAAGGAAGAGUAUUUCCUCAUCUUUGUUUUCUACCCCAACGACCUGGGGCUUCCAAGCUGACUCAAGGGAGGGAAGGUGGCCCCACACUCCCUCCCGCCUUUUUGCUCACCUCAUUUUCUUUUCCACCAAAUCCAAACUGUAUCUACAUUUAUACCAAACACCACUCAAUACUUCACCAAGCAGAACUAACACCAUUUGGUUGUAUAUGCAAGCUUGAGAAACUUUUUAUUAAAAGAGGAAAUAAAAGUGAA